rnacentral:lncRNA from 1 species
GGACCUAAUGUGCAAUAGUCCCUUUGGGUCCCAAACUCCCAAUUGAUGUGUCUAGCUUCUUGAAGGAGCUGAUCAGUAUAGAGAAAACUCAGAAAAGUAUCAAUCCCAUUUGAUCUUGGAAAAGUCAGGGUCAAGGGAAUAGACUAGAUCAGAAUCAAGCAGGUGAGUAAUUUGUAUGGUUUUGAUGAUAAGAAAAGAUUGGAUCUUUGUGUUUUAUUGGGUUUCACUUUGGACUCAGGUUUGUACAUACGUAUGAAAAUGGAAAGUGGCCCAACUUCUGAAAAUUAUCAUGGGUGUAUUUGAUUUUCAUCAUUCGUAUUGAUCUAGAUAAUCCUUGCAUAUCAAAGGAAAAGUAUAUAAGAUCAUUGCCAGAAUUUAUCAUUGAAUAAAAGCUCAUGGAAAAUGGAAGAAUCUGAUCACUAAAUGUGUAAAAAUGUGUAAAUUAUAGAUAUCAAACACACAACUUUCUUGAUCGAUCUUCUCUAAAAAAAUUAGAUGUUCGUAUGGAUGUCUAGCUAGCUAUUGAAAGUAGUCUCAUAAUUUUGCUUUUUUCUUCACUUUUAUCAAAGAAGUGGCCAUAUAUCAUGGAUUUCGAACUUCAUCUUUUAGCAAUCGUAUAGUUUUCUUUUUCGUUUUCUUAUGACACGAUAUUCUUUUAUAUGUAGAAAGAGACUUCGAUUCAUACAGUAUUUGAAAAAUUAGAAGGAAAAAGAAGAUCAAUCUGUCCUGUAUAUUAACAACUUACCAUACUUUAUCUUAACAAUUUAUAAUUUUAUAUGUCUGAACCUUGCCCAUUUAACUAUCAAUUUUGUUUCUGUUAGGUACAAUUAAACUUGGGUCAUUCAAACUCUAUGGCAUGCAGCUUAAUUGUUUUGAUCAAGUCAUUCAUAUCAGAAAGUUGGUAAUCUAUAGUUGGUGAUGAAUUCGAAAGUUCUGUAAAGUACCAAUCAUAUAUAUGUUUGAGUGAUCCUCAACAUCCCAAGUAGAUGAUUUGUUGUUGGCUAAACCCAAUUAUUUAGUCAAACAAAGACGUAUUACGCCUUUAUGGGAUUAGGUAAGGGGUCCUAUUCUCUAACCCUAAAAUUCUAAUUAGAACUAGUUGUCAAGCAAGCAUAACAUCCUAUUAACUAUCAUCACUAUUUCUUCUCUGAAAGCAUGCUUUUAUCAAAAUAUAUAAAUGCAUGCUAGACUACUAAUUGUUCUUACCAUCCUUGACCGGGACUAUACUACUAAACCUGGACAGUCCACACUUCCAUGGAAGGAAACUAAUUGAAACUAUAAUACAGAGACUACAAUAAUUUAUCGACAUGGAACAUCAAUGUACUAUAUCCCUGGACCUCUUUCGGAAACGUACAGUCCUCUAGGAUAAGGUACUAGUAAAUACCUAAUUGGUUUAUUGUCCUUGUCGUAGACAAGAGCAUUGUCCCCCUAUUCUGUUUGUUUGAAGGGUUAGGGAGUUUUGCAUAUGCAAAUACACAGUGAUGAGUAGCUGUCUUCUUAACUAUGGUGUCUGUAUAUCUCUAUCCUCCUUUGUCUUCUAACAUUCUUGCACCUUGGAAAAGUUGCAGUGGCAGCCUAGCUCCAAAUUAGGGCAUGGUCACAAACCGAAGAGAUUAACUCGAGCUGCUAAGAUCAUCCACCACUGUCUAAAUGUAUGAAGGCAGCCCUUCUGGAAAAAGCUGAAGAGUGAUGGUGAUCAUUAAUUGACAAAGAUGUUUUCGAUUAUCUAGAGGAAAUAGCAUAUCAUGAAGAGUAUGAUCGAGUAGCAAUUAACAAAUGAGAUCUUUCUAUUUCAAUCCCAUCUUAGUAAAAACAUAAACUAAUACAAAAUUGACCCUUUGGGGUUUUUGACAAAAUGCUUAAUGUAGACAGCAAUGCCUAGUUUAACUUUCGGUUCUACCAACUUUGAGCUUGAAAUGGUUAGUAUAGGACUAUAGGAGGUGUAUAUUUCACUGAACCAUACCCUUUUUUCAUCAUAGCUAGACUCAAUUAUUGUAUAUUAAUCAAGGCCUUAUCCAUGUUAGAUUUUAGUGUUACAUAGUUUGUAUGUUUUAUGAACCCGAUUUCGGUGACAAGCCCUUUCACCUUAAGGCGACCACUGCCAAUGAACAUGGGACGCGUGUCCAUUUUAAAAGGCUUGGUUGCAAUUUAAGGACAUAACAUAAGAGUUUUAGGUAUUUGACAUGUUUGUUUAUGAUUAUUUGUUGACACUUAUUCAUCUCUCAUUAGUGUUUGUCACCCAUAGUGAUGAUAGCUGGUCACUCAAGUUAUUUCUCCUGUUUUAUUCAUAGUAUUUGUACAUGCAUGUAUAUAUAGAUAUAGUCGAUAUGAAAAUUAAGCAGCCCACUUGCUAUAAAUAUGAACAUACAUCUACAUGUUAUAAUAUAAACAAAGAAAAUGAAAAAUAAAAUAAAAGAAGGCAUUAGUUUAUAGUGAUCAUGAAAGAUAUGUCUGUUACACAAAAGCUUAGCAUAUAUAGCUAAGAUUAGAUAAUCAAUAAUCAUCCAAUGAGAAUGGUAGCUAGGUCUUUUAAGAAACCAUCUUGUGAAUGCCAACAAUAUGAUUAUUCUACCAAAGCAGUACAUGCAAGCAAAAUUAACUUAUUAGUGAGAUUCAGCUCAAACAUUAAUCAACAAUAUUGUGUUAUGUGGUGUGGAAAGGAAAGAACGAAACAGGUCGAAAUUGUUAAGAAACAGAUGCACACCAAGACAACAAGCUAAAUGGUUCUUUCUCAAUUUUCUUUUGGGUUUCUUUUGUCACUUAUAUUGACUUUAGUCCUGUUGCUGACUCACAUAUCUCUCAAUUUAACAAGAAGAACAUAUAGUAAUAGUUGGUUUAAGAUAUCUUCUUGUUACUAAAUAAUAUGCUUUGAUAUCUUAGAAGUGUGGAUUUGUUACCUAAUUUGGAUUUGUUUCCUAAUUCUUCUUGCUUGUAGCCUUGUAGAUUGCACGUGCCAAUGACUCAAUGACCACUCUAAACACAUGCAUGAGAAAAUGAUUUCCUCAUUGUAAUGGUGAACUCUAAGUUCAAGGCUUAAUUGCCCAAUUAUUCUAGGUCAGAGAAGACUUAAUAAACAAGUCACAGAUCGAUUUCGAUC